rnacentral:sRNA from 12 species
GAUCAUUGACAUACUGACAAGGCUAAAAAACAAAGAGAUAACUAACGUAGAGAGGCUCUAAGCCCUCUACACGUGACUAACAAUACAGCUUGCAAGUCUAGACCUAACGUGCUAGACGUUGAACCAGCAAAAGCGGUGAAGCCCUCGCAGGGUGAUGAACGCAGAGGCUGGCAACCUCGCCCCUCGUAAAGGGCUUGCAAGCAC